GAUGAAGAACGCAGCGAAAUGCGUUAAGUAAUGUGAAUUGCAGAAUUCAGUGAAUCAUCGAAUCUUUGAACGCACAUUGCGCCCGCCAGUAUUCUGGCGGGCAUGCCUGUUCGAGCGUCAUUUCAACCAUCAAGCCCCCGGCUUGUGUUGGGGACCUGCGGCUGCCGCAGGCCCUGAAAAGCAGUGGCGGGCUCGCUGUCACACCGAGCGUAGUAGCAUACAUCUCGCUCUGGGCGUGCUGCGGGUUCCGGCCGUUAAACCACCUUCAUAACCCAAGGUUGACCUCGGAUCAGGUAGGAAGACCCGCUGAACUUAAGCAUAUCAAUAAGCGGAGGA
rnacentral:misc_RNA from 1 species